rnacentral:lncRNA from 1 species
CUUCUCUUUAGAAAUUAGAAUCUCUAUCCAGCUCAGAGUAGAAGAUGACUUUGAAGUAGACAAAACAACAAAGUAUGGCAGAGAAAAUAUACUUCUAACUAUUGCAGUGAAAACAUGGUUAUAAACAGUAGUGAGGUUCAUUUUCUUUUUUUUCUUCUUUUCAGUUUGGCUGUAAUGAGCAUUGUUUGGAGAUCAUAGGUUGUUUUACUCUCCUGAUGAGUCAAGACAAGAGAGGAGAGCUUCUGAGCUGGGACCUGCAGUAGCUUCCAAGUGUGAGUCAUAGUCACUGGGGUGUCUUUUCUCUGCAUUUUCUGGGAAUCACAGAGUCAAGAAGCCUUGCCACAGACAUCAUCUUUACCAGGAAGUCCUGAUCUAAAACAAGAAAUGACAAAGAUCGAGGGUUCAUCAACCAACAGGAGUGCAGACAACUUCAAAAGUAACUGAGUUUGGAUUGCUGUGAAUACUUGGCUGAGAGGAGACAGGGGUGAUCUCUGCAGUAUUCCUUCAGCCUCACGGAAAAUAUAAUUAAAUGGCUAAAACUUCUGCAAAUUUUCCAAGUCUUAUGGUGAUCCUGGAUCUCUUCUCUGGUACAGGUACCUUGGCCUUCAAGCAUAGUCAGACAAGUGGAAAGAACUGGAAACACCUGGACCAGGCUUGGUGA